rnacentral:lncRNA from 12 species
UUAAUAAAUUUUAAUUUAACUACUGAAAAGGAGUCAAGAAAAAGUAAAAAAAAAAAAAAAAAAAAAAAAAAAAAAAAAAAAAAAAAAAAAAAAAAAAAAAAAAAAAAAAAAAAAAAAAAAAAAAAAAAAAAAAAAAAAAAAAAAAAAAAAAAAAAAAAAAAAAAAAAAAAAAAAAAAAAAAAAAAAAAAAAAAAAAAAAAAAAAAAAAAAAAAAAAAAAAAAAAAAAAAAAAAAAAAAAAAAAAAAAAAAAAAAAAAAAAAAAAAAAAAAAAAAAAAAAAAAAAAAAAAAAAAAAAAAAAAAAAAAAAAAAAAAAAAAAAAAAAAAAAAAAAAAAAAAAAAAAAAAAAAAAAAAAAAAAAAAAAAAAAAAAAAAAAAAAAAAAAAAAAAAAAAAAAAAAAAAAAAAAAAAAAAAAAAAAAAAAAAAAAAAAAAAAAAAAAAAAAAAAAAAAAAAAAAAAAAAAAAAAAAAAAAAAAAAAAAAAAAAAAAAAAAAAAAAAAAAAAAAAAAAAAAAAAAAAAAAAAAAAAAAAAAAAAAAAAAAAAAAAAAAAAAAAAAAAAAAAAAAAAAAAAAAAAAAAAAAAAAAAAAAAAAAAAAAAAAAAAAAAAAAAAAAAAAAAAAAAAAAAAAAAAAAAAAAAAAAAAAAAAAAAAAAAAAAAAAAAAAAAAAAAAAAAAAAAAAAAAAAAAAAAAAAAAAAAAAAAAAAAAAAAAAAAAAAAAAAAAAAAAAAAAAAAAAAAAAAAAAAAAAAAAAAAAAAAAAAAAAAAAAAAAAAAAAAAAAAAAAAAAAAAAAAAAAAAAAAAAAAAAAAAAAAAAAAAAAAAAAAAAAAAAAAAAAAAAAAAAAAAAAAAAAAAAAAAAAAAAAAAAAAAAAAAAAAAAAAAAAAAAAAAAAAAAAAAAAAAAAAAAAAAAAAAAAAAAAAAAAAAAAAAAAAAAAAAAAAAAAAAAAAAAAAAAAAAAAAAAAAAAAAAAAAAAAAAAAAAAAAAAAAAAAAAAAAAAAAAAAAAAAAAAAAAAAAAAAAAAAAAAAAAAAAAAAAAAAAAAAAAAAAAAAAAAAAAAAAAAAAAAAAAAAAAAAAAAAAAAAAAAAAAAAAAAAAAAAAAAAAAAAAAAAAAAAAAAAAAAAAAAAAAAAAAAAAAAAAAAAAAAAAAAAAAAAAAAAAAAAAAAAAAAAAAAAAAAAAAAAAAAAAAAAAAAAAAAAAAAAAAAAAAAAAAAAAAAAAAAAAAAAAUUAAAUCGCAAAGGCGAUAAAUCAAGAUUGGGCAGAAGCUGCGAUUUUCAAGUGAAGCAUGGUUCUGUGAUCAGCAGUAAAUCGCCAAACGAAGGCCAGAGGGUGCUGAAACUCCAAAUACGCCUCGCAGAAGAAACACAGGAAAUGCCUUUAGCGGUUGCUGAAUAA